UACGAAGGGGGCGAGCGUUGUUCGGAUUUACUGGGCGUAAAGGGCGCGCAGGCGGCUCUGCAAGUCAGAUGUGAAAGCCCCGGGCUUAACCUGGGAACUGCAUUUGGGACUGUGGGGCUAGAGAUCGGGAGAGGAGAGUGGAAUUCCCAGUGUAGAGGUGAAAUUCGUAGAUAUUGGGAGGAACACCAGUGGCGAAGGCGAUCAUCUGGGGUUGUUCUGACGCUGAGGAGCGAAAGCUAGGGGAGCAAACGGG
rnacentral:rRNA from 1 species